CGAGAGGUGCUUGCACCUUUCAAGCGAGUGGCGAACGGGUGAGUAACACGUGGAUAACCUGCCUCAAGGCUGGGGAUAACAUUUGGAAACAGAUGCUAAUACCGAAUAAAACUUAGUAUCGCAUGAUACAAAGUUAAAAGGCGCUACGGCGUCACCUGGAGAUGGAUCCGCGGUGCAUUAGUUAGUUGGUGGGGUAAAGGCUUACCAAGACAAUGAUGCAUAGCCGAGUUGAGAGACUGAUCGGCCACAUUGGGACUGAGACACGGCCCAAACUCCUACGGGAGGCUGCAGUAGGGAAUCUUCCACAAUGGGCGCAAGCCUGAUGGAGCAACGCCGCGUGUGUGAUGAAGGCUUUCGGGUCGUAAAGCACUGUUGUAUGGGAAGAAAUGCUAAAAUAGGGAAUGAUUUUAGUUUGACGGUACCAUACCAGAAAGGGACGGCUAAAUACGUGCCAGCAGCCGCGGUAAUACGUAUGUCCCGAGCGUUAUCCGGAUUUAUUGGGCGUAAAGCGAGCGCAGACGGUUGAUUAAGUCUGAUGUGAAAGCCCGGAGCUCAACUCCGGAAUGGCAUUGGAAACUGGUUAACUUGAGUGUUGUAGAGGUAAGUGGAACUCCAUGUGUAGCGGUGGAAUGCGUAGAUAUAUGGAAGAACACCAGUGGCGAAGGCGGCUUACUGGACAACAACUGACGUUGAGGCUCGAAAGUGUGGGUAGCAAACAGGAUUAGAUACCCUGGUAGUCCACACCGUAAACGAUGAAUACUAGGUGUUAGGAGGUUUCCGCCUCUUAGUGCCGAAGCUAACGCAUUAAGUAUUCCGCCUGGGGAGUACGACCGCAAGGUUGAAACUCAAAGGAAUUGACGGGGACCCGCACAAGCGGUGGAGCAUGUGGUUUAAUUCGAAGCAACGCGAAGAACCUUACCAGGUCUUGACAUCCUUUGAAGCUUUUAGAGAUAGAAGUGUUCUCUUCGGAGACAAAGUGACAGGUGGUGCAUGGUCGUCGUCAGCUCGUGUCGUGAGAUGUUGGGUUAAGUCCCGCAACGAGCGCAACCCUUAUUGUUAGUUGCCAGCAUUCAGUUGGGCACUCUAGCGAGACUGCCGGUGACAAACCGGAGGAAGGCGGGGACGACGUCAGAUCAUCAUGCCCCUUAUGACCUGGGCUACACACGUGCUACAAUGGCGUAUACAACGAGUUGCCAACCUGCGAAGGUGAGCUAAUCUCUUAAAGUACGUCUCAGUUCGGACUGCAGUCUGCAACUCGACUGCACGAAGUCGGAAUCGCUAGUAAUCGCGGAUCAGCACGCCGCGGUGAAUACGUUCCCGGGUCUUGUACACACCGCCCGUCACACCAUGGGAGUUUGUAAUGCCCAAAGCCG
rnacentral:rRNA from 1 species